rnacentral:rRNA from 1 species
GACGAACGCUGGCGGCGUGCCUAAUACAUGCAAGUAGAACGCUGAAGGAGGAUCUUGCUCUUCUGGAUGAGUUGCGAACGGGUGAGUAACGCGUAGGUAACCUGCCUGGUAGCGGGGGAUAACUAUUGGAAACGAUAGCUAAUACCGCAUAACAGUAGAUGUUGCAUGACAUUUGCUUAAAAGGUGCAAUUGCACCACUACCAGAUGGACCUGCGUUGUAUUAGCUAGUUGGUGGGGUAACGGCUCACCAAGGCGACGAUACAUAGCCGACCUGAGAGGGUGAUCGGCCACACUGGGACUGGGACACGGCCCAGACUCCUACGGGAGGCAGCAGUAGGGAAUCUUCGGCAAUGGACGGAAGUCUGACCGAGCAACGCCGCGUGAGUGAGGAAGGUUUUCGGAUCGUAAAGCUCUGUUGUAAGAGAAGAACGAGUGUGAGAGUGGAAAGUUCACACUGUGACGGUAUCUUACCAGAAAGGGACGGCUAACUACGUG